rnacentral:rRNA from 1 species
UACGUAGGGGGCUAGCGUUGUCCGGAAUCAUUGGGCGUAAAGCGCGUGUAGGCGGUUCGGUAAGUCCGCUGUGAAAGUCGAGGGCUCAACCCUCGAACGCCGGUGGAUACUGUCGGGCUAGAGUGCGGAAGAGGCGAGUGGAAUUCCUGGUGUAGCGGUGAAAUGCGCAGAUAUCAGGAGGAACACCAAUUGCGAAGGCAGCUCGCUGGGACGUUACUGACGCUGAGACGCGAAAGCGUGGGGAGCAAACAGG